GAUGAACGCUGGCGGCGUGCUUAACACAUGCAAGUCGAGCGAACAGACGCGGAGUUUGCUCGUUUCUCGUGAGCCGAGCACGGGUGUGACACACGUGGAUAAUCCACUUAACUGACGGGGAAAACUUGGGGACAGCGGCGCAAACCCGGGAGAAUAUCUUGAUGCAUGUGGUUGAUUAGUGAAAGUCGGUUUUGGUGGAUCUUAUAGCUGGAUCCGCGCCGCAUUGGCUGGUUGGGAGGGUAACGGGUUACCAAGGCGACGAUGCGUAGCCGACCUGAGAGGGUGGUCGGCCACACUAGAGGUGAGCCGCGGACCAGAGUCCUACGGGAGGCAGCAGUAGGGAAUGGUCCGCAGUGGGCGGAAGCCUGACGGAGCGGCGCCACGUGUGUGAUGACGGUCUUCGGAUCGUAAAACUCUGUUAUUGGUGAAAAACAAAUGUGUAAGGAACUAUGCCCGUCGUGACGGUACCUGGUCAGGAAGCAACGGCUAACUACGUG
rnacentral:rRNA from 1 species